rnacentral:lncRNA from 1 species
UGUGGGCCUUAGGCCCAAACCCGGAUCCAAGUAUCACAUACACACUGCUCAACAUCAAGGUCAAAAGAGAGUAGGAAACGCGCUUAUUUAGAAAAGCCAUUAUCGUGAAUGAAAUGGAAGAAGUCUUGAACCAAAAACGCUUAUGCACAAGUCGGAGCAGCUACGUGUUUCACCACCAAUAGUCGCUUUUGCGUUCACGUAUUCACAACAACGUCGCAUUUUGCAGCCGAGCUUCACGUUCAUCGACAACUUCGUCUUAUUCAAAUCACAACGUACAAAAUGAAGAAACACGGCUCCACCUCAAUGAUUCACGACUCAAAAUCCUCAACAAUACUCGAUUCGAUUUACUUGUGCACGCGCGAAAACAAGGAAAAACAGAAUUGAAAUCAAGAAACUCACCGAAUUUGAAGCUUCGAUUACAAACAGGUAUGAAUUCCCUUUCUCUGCUCGAUUUUCGAUUGCUUCCUCUUCUUCACCGGUUCGAUUUCCGAUUGCUUGUUGCGAUAUUUUCCUGUGUUGCAUUGAGUGUGUAUGAGAUGUAUGCAAAUUGUUGCGUGAGAAUGAGUGAGAGAGAAAGAGAGAACUCUGAGUCUUGGCGAGUUGAAUCGAGAUUGUGAAAAAUGAAUCUCUGAGUCAAUGAAUCCUGAGAUCAAUCCCUAUUGAGGUGAAGGAUGAAUGAUACUUAUAGCUAAUGGAUUUAAUAGAGAUCAAACUCUGUUAAAUCGUGAUAGCUUGAAACGGUUGGAAAUUAGCUUUGUUAAUUGGCUCUGUUAGAAGUUAGUUGGAAAACUGAUUUGUUAGUUUCACUAAACUUUCUGUUAAAAUGGAUUUACUUCCAGCUGUUAUGAAUGAGUAUUAGUUAGUGUAGAGUGCAAGCUAUAUUGGAACUGUUAGUAAUUGGAACGCUGCUAUGAAUGUCGGCACCGUUAUUUUGUGGGCGAAUGCUAGUAAUCGGUUAGAAAAAUUUCUUGUUAGUUGAUGCUAUGUCAGUAUAUGAAGUUAGGUUAUUAUUAAUGGCUCUUAUAUGUAAAUGUUGAUGAGGGAAUGAUGCUUAACAAAAUGGAAGUAUGCAAGUGUAAUCGAUUAAGAGUCAAUUCAAUAUAUGUAAUGAAAUAAUGAGCCAAGUUAUUUAGUUUAGAAACGGAAGUCAGUGACAUUUUAUGGGAUGUAUAAAACAUGUUGGUAUGAUGCUUGAAAUGAGUCUUGUAUGAUGCUUGAAAUGAGUCUUGUAUGAAUUCUAUUAGGCUGGUUUUAUGCAGGUCUUGGUAGUUCAAACAUGUGGUGCAUAGGGUGUGCAAAAAAAUUAAUUAUUCAUGAUCAAAUUGGUAUUCAAAUUAUUCCACUUUUAAAAAACCAAAGCAAAUGUUAAAAUAAAAAUUUGGGUAUCUAUUUUGUUAUUGAAAUAUAAAUCAUUAUUCAUUAUAAAAAUUUGGUUUUGUUAUUGGGUAUCCAAAUUUUACUAUGUCUUAAAUUUUUAUAUUUUUUUAUCACAUUAUAAAUUAAUUUUAUAUUUUAUUAUUUUAAAUUUUAUAAAAAUAAUUAUUUUAAAAAUAAAAUUUCAGAAUUUUUUUUCUUUUCACGAAAAAUAUUAUAUUCGAAUUUUUUUUCCAAAAAAAAUUAUAUUUGAUAUUUCUUUUUCAAAUAAAAUUAUUAUUUUCUUUUAAAUAAAAAAAAAAUUUAUCAAAAAUAUUUUGUAUUUUUUCAGUAAAAAAAUUUCUUUUUAAAAAAAAUUUAGAUUCUUUUUUAAAUAAUUUUUUUUAUAAUUUUUUAAAUUUUUAAAAAGAUUAUUUUUUCAAAUUUUCAGAAUAAUAAAACUUUUAUUUUCAGAUUUUUUUUAAAUAAUAAUUUUAUUUUCUAUUUCUAGUUUUUUUAAAAUAAAUUUUUUUCAGUUAUUUUUAUUUUUUAGAAUAAUUUAUUUUUUUCAAGAUUUUUUUUAUUUUUCAAUUUUUUUUUCAUUUUCAGAAUAUAAUUUUAUUAUUUUCAACUUUUUUUUGAUAUAUUUUUUUUCUUUUUUCUGCAUAUUUGAUAUUAUUAUUUUUUAAAAUUUUAAAAUAAAAAGUAUUUUAAAACCUCAUAAAACUUGUUUAUGUUUUUAAAUUUUAAAAUUAAUAUUAAUUUAAAGAAAAUAAAAUUUAAAUUAAAUAAAAUAAUUUUAAUUAAAAUUAAAACCCAUUUAAAAUCGGUUUUAAAUCGUUUCGAAACCGGUUUGAAACCGAUUCAGAAUUUUAAAUUGAUUUUUGUGAAAAGUGGUUUGGUUUAUAAACCAUAAUAAUAAAAAUGGAUUGGUUCAUAUUAAAUGGUAUCCAUGCACACCCUAGUGGUGCAAGCAUGACAUUUCAUAGAGAUUUGGACAUGGAGACAAAAUGGUCAAAAUUUGAAGCUGUUUUCUAAAAUGUGAAAUCAUUUUUCUACUUGAAUUGUUAACUUGUAUGAAGAGUUGGAAUAUUUUAUGGAUUGGUUGCUUGCGCUUGGAAGUCUUUGGAAAUGGGAAGGAAGUCUUUGGAAAUGGGAAGGUGAAUAAGUCAUGGCCAUUGGCGAAUGCUUGGAAUGUAUUGAAUUUGGAAUGGUGCAGUUGAAAUGAACCUUGUGAAUUGGUUGUAUGGAAGUAAAUGUAAAAUGUUUGGAAAAUGAAUGAAUUGAUGUAAUUUGAAUGAUGUAUUAUGAUUAUGUGAAUAUUGAUGUAUGGUUGAAAUGGUUGUGUUCUAUUGUUUGAUCAAUGAAUUGCCUUGCACAUGAGAUGCUAGUUUGAUGUAUGACAUGCUAGAAAUUGUUUUGUGGUUUUGACAAUGGUUUAUGUUGGAAUGGUUGGAAUGUAUGGUAGGAAUGCUUGCUUGAAAUAUGGUGUGUUGUUCAUAGAAUGAUAGUGUGAUAUGCUUGUAGUCAUAGUUUGAAAUGCUUGGUUAGGCAUGCUUGAAAUGCAUAUGCUUGGUUAGGCAUGCUUGAAAUGCAUAUGCUUUGAAUGCCAUAUUGGUUUAAUUUUUUUAG